rnacentral:rRNA from 1 species
UACAGAGGGGGCAAGCGUUGUUCGGAAUUACUGGGCGUAAAGGGCGCGUAGGCGGCCUGCUAAGUCGAACGUGAAAUCCCUGGGCUCAACCCAGGAACUGCGUCCGAUACUGGUUGGCUUGAAUCCGGGAGAGGGAUGUGGAAUUCCAGGUGUAGCGGUGAAAUGCGCAGAUAUCAGGAAGAACACCAAUGGCGAAGGCAGCUCUCUGGGACGGUACUGACGCUGAGACGCGAAAGCGUGGGGAGCGAACAGG